CCCGCGUGGAGGAUGAAGGUCUUCGGAUUGUAAACUCCUGUCAUGAGGGAGUAAGACACAGCGUUAACUGCGUAUGUGUUUGAUAUACCUCAAGAGGAAGAGACGGCUAACUCUGUGCCAGCAGCCGCGGUAAUACAGAGGUCUCAGGCGUUGUUCGGAUUCAUUGGGCGUAAAGGGUGCGUAGGUGGCAAGGCAAGUCUGAUGUGAAAUCCCCGGGCUCAACCUGGGAACUGCAUUUGAUACUGCCGUGCUCGAGUGCUGGAGGGGAGACUGGAAUUCACGGUGUAGCAGUGAAAUGCGUAGAUAUCGUGAGGAAGACCGGUGGCGAAGGCGAGUCUCUGGACAGCAACUGACACUGAGGCACGAAGGCUAGGGGAGCAAACGGGAUUAGAUACCCCGGUAGUCCUAGCAGUAAACGGUGCGCGUUUGGUAUGGGGGGAUCGACCCCUUCCGUGCCGGAGCUAACGCGUUAAACGCGCCGCCUGGGGAGUACGGUCGCAAGAUUAAAACUCAAAGAAAUUGACGGGGGCCCGCACAAGCGGUGGAGUAUGUGGCUUAAUUCGAUGCAACGCGAAGAAC
rnacentral:rRNA from 1 species